AUGAGGAACCAGCUCCUCCUGCUGUUCAAGUACAGAGGCCUGGUCCGCAAAGGGAAGAAAAGCAAAAGACGAAAAUGGCUAAAUUCGUGA